GGUCAGUUUCCACCUGUUGCAGUCCCUCAGACAGCAACAUGACACCAGAGAGAGAGGGGGAGUGGGAGGAGAGAAGAGAGUACAUACCAGCUGUGACAGCAGUAAAUGACGAUAGUUUCUGAUCGAAACUCCAUAUUUGAGUCCAAUCCCAUCAACAUCGGCAGCAGCAUCAAAAUCAAGCUCAGCACCAGGAACUAGUACUAAUCCUAAUGUUGAUGACGAUGACCUUGACACGAGCUUUAGUAGUGCAGAGCCUGUAGACCCACUGGAUGAAAGCUUUCAGCCUGGAAAAAUCUCAAGCUCAACAUCAUCGGACUUUGAAACAAGCCAGGACAGCCAAAGGUAUU